AUUGAACGCUGGCGGCAGGCUUAACACAUGCAAGUCGAACGCGUGUCGGACGGGUGAGUAAUGCUUGGGAAUCUUGCUUAUGGCGUGGGAUCACUACGGGAAACUGUAGCUAAUACCCCGUACCAUAGGAUGAGCCCAAGUGGGAGUAGGUAGUUGGUGAGGUAAAGGCUCACCAAGCCGACGAUCUCUAGCUGGUCUGCGAGGAUGACCAGCCACACUGGGACUGUGAAACGACCACGACUACUACGGGAGGCAGCAGUGGGGAAUAUUGCACAAUGGGCGCAAGCCUGAUGCAGCCAUGCCGCGUGUAUGAAGAAGGCCUUCGGGGUGUAAAGUACUUUCAGUCGGGAGGCGUUACCGACAGAAGAAGCACCGGCUAACUCCGUGCCAGCCGCCGCGGUAAUUC
rnacentral:rRNA from 1 species